UACGUAGGGUGCGAGCGUUAAUCGGAAUUACUGGGCGUAAAGCGUGCGCAGGCGGUGAUGUAAGACAGAUGUGAAAUCCCCGGGCUCAACCUGGGAACUGCAUUUGUGACUGCAUCGCUGGAGUGCGGCAGAGGGGGAUGGAAUUCCGCGUGUAGCAGUGAAAUGCGUAGAUAUGCGGAGGAACACCGAUGGCGAAGGCAAUCCCCUGGGCCUGCACUGACGCUCA
rnacentral:rRNA from 1 species